AUGGAUGAGAGACUAUCACUGCUAAGUACUCAAUGGAAAAUUCCCCAACUGGAUAUCUGGCAACAAAAAGAAAACCAACAAAAUAUUAACUCUACAUCCGAAUGGCUAUGCACCCGGACCAUCGAGCUAAAACUACUUGAGAAGAUGACUCGAGGAAGAGAGCUACAUGUCUUGGGGGAGAAGUGCGGCACACUGCUCAUCAGCGACGACGACCGCAAGCUCAUUUACACCAUCGCCCUCGAAACUGGGACGAUUGAGGAGGUGGAGGAUUGGCCACGUGGUGUCCACAUAUCCUCGUCGGAUGCCAUAGCCAUGGAGAUUGAGUGGCCUGCAAUGUUCGUUUCUCGGCUUACAAGGGAGUUCAAGUGUGCCCUGCCACCUCCAAAUGACGAGACAACAUCACACUGGUAG
rnacentral:rRNA from 1 species